rnacentral:tRNA from 1 species
AAGAGUUUAGUUUAAGCUAAAACGUUAGACUGUAAAUCUAAAGAUUUUUAUUCUUG